UAGGGAAUCUUCCACAAUGGACGCAAGUCUGAUGGAGCAACGCCGCGUGAGUGAAGAAGGGCUUCGGCUCGUAAAGCUCUGUUGUUAAAGAAGAACGUGGGUAAGAGUAACUGUUUACCCAGUGACGGUAUUUAACCAGAAAGCCACGGCUAACUACGUGCCAA
rnacentral:rRNA from 1 species